CAUAAACUGAAACUUAAACUCAGCUUCAAAGCAUCAUUGAUAUAAAUUGAGAUCUCAGAACUAUCAUUCAUCUUUUUUUGCAGCUUCCGGAUUACCGGCUAAGAGUCUCCCUCAACCUCCACCUCUCUCAAACCAAGUUGUACCCCAAGAUUCAGAGCCUGAACACACGCAACCGUUUCUGCUGCAAAUACAGACGCUGCGCCAAAGUUUAUUUUCAGCCUCGAUCCCAUCGGUACAACCCAUCUGUCCACAUACACCCUUCUUUCAGAAGGGCAUUCACGAAACAGAUGCUCCUUUGUCUCCCUCCAGAUUAACACCACCGACACGUAGGAGAAUCCAACAUUCUUCGAUAGUGUAGAUUACUGAAAGUAGGUACAUAGUUACACAAAAGUCUCCAAAC